UACGUAGGGUGCAGGCGUUAUUCGGAAUUACUGGGCGUAAAGCGUGCGCAGGCGGUGUUGUAAGACAGAUGUGAAAUCCCCGGGCUCAACCUGGGAACUGCAUUUGUGACUGCAUCGCUGGAGUGCGGCAGAGGGGGAUGGAAUUCCGCGUGUAGCAGUGAAAUGCGUAGAUAUGCGGAGGAACACCGAUGGCGAAGGCAAUCCCCUGGGCCUGCACUGACGCUCAUGCACGAAAGCGUGGGGAGCAAACAGG
rnacentral:rRNA from 1 species